CCGCCUCAGCCAAAGCCCCCGCCAUUCCCGCCUCAGGAAAGCCCCGCCCCUCCCGCCUCAGGCACCCUCUUGUAGGGCGGGCUCUUGAGGUGAAGACGCUGGGUGUUUCUGCUUGUCCCUCUGUUUUGGGGAUGGGUGAUGCUCGUUGUGCAUUCCCCAGUGCUGGUGGCUGGCAUUCCUUCCCGGGCGCUGCUGGCAGCUGCUCCCUGCCGGGUGAGAUGCGGACAUUGGGAAGAGCAGGCGGGCAGUGCUGUCACUCCGUGUUGGGCUUGUCCUGCCACCUGUGCCGGGGCUUGUGUGGAAAUAAACAUUGAGGAGCUCGUCCCGCUGCGGUUUCAUGGAGAGCAGAUGAUGCCCUGAGAAAAACUAGGAGACCUUUUGGGAAUCCUGCUGUGAAGAAGUUUAGGAAAAUUAAAAUUGUUUUAAGAUGCGCUCCUCUCCUUGAGAAUCUCCUGGAUGCUGCGAAUGUGAAAUCUGUUCAGCAAGAAAAUUCAGCAUUUGAGGAUUGCCUAGAAAUUUCCACAUGAAAACUGUACAAAGAGAAGAAUGAAGAAAUAAGUAAUAAGCAGCAGUCUGACCAAAGAAAAUAAGCUGACCCUUAUGUUGUCUAGCAGCUGUAUGGGGAAAACAUUUCUCCAUUGUGGGCAGCUGUGUCCCAGAAGGCUGAGGAAAGGAAAAGGGAGCAUUUGUCAUCACCUACAACAUUAGUACAUGUAACAUGCAAAUCCAUAGAAUUAUGGCAGCCUCUGUUCCACAUCAGUUCGCUGUCCCCUCUCUUGUGUGUCAGAAUCAAGAAGUCACAGAAGAUUAUGAAAAGGAGUAUUGACAUAGGGAAAAAAUGCACCCUUCUUGCACAUUUCUUCUGCCAGUAAUUCUGUGUCCCUGAUUGGAUUCAUGUGGGAUUUCAGCUGUGAACACAUGAAAGGCUUGCAUGUUCAGUGCUAAAUAAUGCAACGGUUCAGCAAAGCUACUGACAUAAUUUUGAAAAACUGCAACUGCAUGCUGGGAUUUCACAACGAAAGGGGCUGCAAGGACACAGAAGGAGCUCAAAAGGACACCUCAUGCCUCACUUCAUUCAUAAUUUAUCUUUCCCUUCCUUGAUCUCCUACCUUUUACAGCCACAACAGUAAGUUUCAUUUCAGCUGAAAUAUAAAAACCCUGCACUUUAUAGCUGUUUAUGCUGUUGUUUAACCAGAUUAGCUAUUUCUUUUUUCACUUAAUGAAGCCACUAGAGCCUUCUGCCUCCUGUUUUACAGCACAAAAGUUCAUCAGCUAUUUUAAUUUCAAUUUAUUGAGCUAUGGUUUCUGUAAAUACAUCGGCAGCAAAAAGAAGGUUAUGGAAAAUGUGGGACUACUGUGAGGCAACUAUAAAGAGCUUUGCUUUAUUUCAUCUGCUUUGGAUGAUAAAACACAGGUUGUAGACAGGAUCCAGGCUCAAAGGAGGUGACUGAUACAGUAGGGCAGUUCUGUAGUAUUUGGAAAUGAUGAUUAAAGAAAAAAAAAAUUGACUGCAGCCUAUUCCAUAAGGCAGAUAAUUAAUAGCAUAGAAUAGUACCAGUUGGGAGAGCCCUAUAAACAUCUCCUAGUCCAACUGCCUGAUAAGUAUCUAUUUUCAGAUUAUUUAGAAGCAAAAGGUAUAUUCAGAAAAAAAUUCAAACUGUUUUGGCCAUCUUUAUGCGACCAUAUGAGUGCAAAAAAUCAGAACUAAAAUUAAAAUGUUAUGAGUGCAAGUAAAAGGCCUGUGCUUGCACUCUGGUAUCACCUUAGAGAGUGGUGGCUGACACAGGCCAGCGCUGUGCUAGGGAGCUGUGGACACUUAAGCCAUGCCAGGGGACACUGGCCCAGUUCUAGGCUUGCUGUGGCACUGUUUGAUUGAGCACUAAUGGUGGAACCACAAAGAUUUCAUCACAAGCCCU